rnacentral:rRNA from 1 species
UACGUAGGGUGCAAGCGUUAAUCGGAAUUACUGGGCGUAAAGCGUGCGCAGGCGGUUUUGUAAGUCUGUCGUGAAAUCCCCGGGCUCAACCUGGGAAUUGCGAUGGAGACUGCAAGGCUAGAAUCUGGCAGAGGGGGGUAGAAUUCCACGUGUAGCAGUGAAAUGCGUAGAGAUGUGGAGGAACACCGAUGGGCGAAGGCAGCCCCCUGGGUCAAGAUUGACGCUCAUGCACGAAAGGCGUGGGGAGCAAACGAGG